GAUGAACGCUGGCGGCGUGCCUAAUACAUGCAAGUCGAGCGAACGGACGAGAAGCUUGCUUCUCUGAUGUUAGCGGCGGACGGGUGAGUAACACGUGGAUAACCUACCUAUAAGACUGGGAUAACUUCGGGAAACCGGAGCUAAUACCGGAUAAUAUUUUGAACCGCAUGGUUCAAAAGUGAAAGUCGGUCUUGCUGUCACUUAUAGAUGGAUCCGCGCUGCAUUAGCUAGUUGGUAAGGUAACGGCUUACCAAGGCAACGAUGCAUAGCCGACCUGAGAGGGUGAUCGGCCACACUGGAGCUGAGACACGGUCCAGACUCCUACGGGAGGCAGCAGUAGGGAAUCUUCCGCAAUAGGCGAAAGCCUGACGGAGCAACGCCGCGUGAGUGAUGAAGGUCUUCGGAUCGGAAAACUCUGUUAUGAGGGAAGAACAUAUGUGUAAGUAACUGUGCACAUCUUGACGGUACCGAAUCAGAAAGCCACGGCUAACUACGUG
rnacentral:rRNA from 1 species